UGCCAGCCGCCGCGGUAAUACGGAGGGUGCGAGCGUUGUUCGGAAUUAUUGGGCGUAAAGAGCAUGUAGGCGGUCUGUUAAGUCUGGUGUGAAAGCCCGGGGCUCAACCCCGGAAGUGCAUUGGAUACUGGCAGACUUGAGUAUGGGAGAGGAAGGCGGAAUUCCGAGUGUAGGAGUGAAAUCCGUAGAUAUUCGGAGGAACACCAGUGGCGAAGGCGGCCUUCUGGACCAAUACUGACGCUGAGAUGCGAAAGCGUGGGGAGCGAACAGGAUUAGAUA
rnacentral:rRNA from 1 species